rnacentral:rRNA from 1 species
CCCUCAGCAGGAAGCGUGGAGACAGAGGAGUGGUGAGCGUGGUAUCUUGAUUUCCUUUCCUUGGUAACCCGGCCCACCUUUAGAGUUUUGAUUCUGGUUCAGAUUGAACGCUGGCGGCAGGCCUAACACAUGCAAGUCGAGCGGAAACGAGUUAUCUGAACCUUCGGGGAACGAUAACGGCGUCGAGCGGCGGACGGGUGAGUAAUGCCUAGGAAAUUGCCCUGAUGUGGGGGAUAACCAUUGGAAACGAUGGCUAAUACCGCAUGAUGCCUACGGGCCAAAGAGGGGGACCUUCGGGCCUCUCGCGUCAGGAUAUGCCUAGGUGGGAUUAGCUAGUUGGUGAGGUAAGGGCUCACCAAGGCGACGAUCCCUAGCUGGUCUGAGAGGAUGAUCAGCCACACUGGAACUGAGACACGGUCCAGACUCCUACGGGAGGCAGCAGUGGGGAAUAUUGCACAAUGGGCGCAAGCCUGAUGCAGCCAUGCCGCGUGUGUGAAGAAGGCCUUCGGGUUGUAAAGCACUUUCAGUCGUGAGGAAGGUAGUGUAGUUAAUAGCUGCAUUAUUUGACGUUAGCGACAGAAGAAGCACCGGCUAACUCCGUGCCAGCAGCCGCGGUAAUACGGAGGGUGCGAGCGUUAAUCGGAAUUACUGGGCGUAAAGCGCAUGCAGGUGGUUUGUUAAGUCAGAUGUGAAAGCCCGGGGCUCAACCUCGGAAUUGCAUUUGAAACUGGCAGACUAGAGUACUGUAGAGGGGGGUAGAAUUUCAGGUGUAGCGGUGAAAUGCGUAGAGAUCUGAAGGAAUACCGGUGGCGAAGGCGGCCCCCUGGACAGAUACUGACACUCAGAUGCGAAAGCGUGGGGAGCAAACAGGAUUAGAUACCCUGGUAGUCCACGCCGUAAACGAUGUCUACUUGGAGGUUGUGGCCUUGAGCCGUGGCUUCGGAGCUAACGCGUUAAGUAGACCGCCUGGGGAGAACGCCACCG